CUCAACCGAACACAAACGGAUCUGUGUUUGGCGAUCCUGGUCGUAAGUGCGACUUCCCCUCUGGGAUUUUCGUCUUUUGCGUAUCGGUUGAUUGCUGGACAGUUCGACGACCACGGAGGCACCGCUGUUCCUACGUCUGGUGUCAGAAAUUUUCCGGUCGACAGAUCUCAGAUCAAAUGUUGGCACAAGGUGUUCACUCUAGUCUUGAGCUCCCCUUUGUUCUCGGACGAUUGGUGAGCUCGGCUGGAGAGCCUUGUGUCAGCGGCGUCAUAUUCCUGUUCCCUUUACCGAUCAUGGCCGUCGGCCGAUGAGGUUAGGGAUAAACCAUGACUGGCCAACAUCA
rnacentral:sRNA from 1 species